UUCCACUCACAGUCGGCUCUCUCAUCCCACACUUUCCCCUAUUCUCUCUUUCUCUCCCCGUUUUCUUUCUUCUCUUUCUUUCCCCUCUCAAACCCUAACAACUUCAUCACUUUCUUUCUCUCUCAUAUCUAUGGCCACCACCACCUCCAAUGAAAAAACUAAUUUCACAUCUCACAGUCUUCCUAAUGAACCGGUUACAUUUUUGUUUCGACGGGUUUCAAAAAGUAGCGUCGGAGGGUGGUGGACGAAAGAAAACCGUGGCCGGUUUCGUCGGCAUAUUUAGCUAUUUCGAUUUUUGCAAGAAACACAGAGAAACUGCGGUGUGGUGUCGUUUUUGUGUGAACCGAGAGUGAGCCGGUGAUGAUUGUUGAAACACAGUGGUUGGAGGGAGUAUUCGUGGCCGAAAAAGUUGAGAGAAGCCAAAGGGUUGGUACUGUGGAUGUUUGUUGAUUUUCGGUUCGGAUUAGAUAAACAAGGAAGAGGAAGUAGUUGUUGUGUUGGACUGAGACAAGGAUGAAGGCAUGUUUUUGUUGUUGUUGUUAUACAUCUAUAGAGAACAGGUUCGGUUAAUUUAAAUGAAUGCUUGUAACUUUGACAUCGGUAUGUUCUGGGAAUAUUAUUGAUGUUAAUGAUGUGUUUGUUUUGUUGAUUGUGUUUUGUACAUAAGGAUACCAUUUAAUGGAAUUAGUCCUGGAAUAGAAGUAAAAAAGAUGGACUAUGUCAUGAGCAAUAUGAUGCUACUGGAUAAUCAGAAACCAGUUUAUAUUCUUGAAAUAUUGUUUGAAAAUCUUCUGGGAAACUCUGUGUCAGUAACCUUUUGUGAAAUUUACUAGCGAAAACAUCUACUGUGAAAUUUUAUCCUUUCAAUUAUAUAUGUUUGAAAAUUUGCAUCAACUCUGAAUAUAUUUAAGAUAUGAAUUAAUUUUCCCGUGCUAACUUGAUACAUUUUUUGUGAAGAUUGUUGAUCAGCAGAGUUUAGAGAAAGUUGAUCAAAAGUCCUGUUGUGUUCUACGUUGCUGCAGUGUUUGGGAAUCAACUUAUAAUUUAAUCUAACAUUUCUUUGUCAUCAUAUAUACAUGGAGAUUGCAGUAAUUUCUAUGUACAAAAGUCUGAAUCAAAAUAUGUCGGUAGUGAAAGCUUUCGAGAUUGUAAUAAUUCUGUUGACAUUCCAAAAGCAGCAAUUUUGUUGGCAGUAUAGUUUUUUGUUCAUGAAAAAGCUCAUAUUCAUCAUAUUUAUAUGCACUAAUAAUCCAUUAAGAGUUUAAAGCAUGGUAAAAUCCGUGGCAAUAGCUUGUGGGGACGUUGAGGCCUUCAUGCAAUUUUGCAAGGGGUGAUCACAAGGAGAAAAUAUGGGAUCAUGCUGCUGGUGUUAUCAUCACACAAGAGCCAUGAGGCACCGUAACAGAUAUAAGGGGUCAUUCAUCGGACUUCUUCAUAGGUAAAACAGAUUAUUAUUUACACGUAAAGCACAUUAUAGUGAUUUUAGAUCAUUUAUUAUAGGGAAAUUGGACUUUUCAUUACUUGAAGCUACUGCUAAUGAAGAGAAUUUGAAGGUACUUUUUAAAAUUUUGAGAAUGUUCUAAAAUUACUUCAUGUCAUGGAUACAUGUGUCAAAUUUUGAGAAUGUUCUAAAAUUACUUCAUGUCAUGGAUACAUGUGUGGUGCAGUGGCUAUAUAGAGUAUUCAAAGUCUUCUAUUCUCAGGACCGCUGAAUCUAAAUGCAGUUGCUCUUGAAUUUAAAUUUAUUUUUCUUGAUAUUUGUUGCACAGAAGCUGGAAGUGAGUUUGGUUUUUAAAAUUGGUUAAUGUCUUUAAUCUUAAUACCAUGCUCAAAUCUAUAGUUUGCUCUUUAUUUGUGGUAGCACUAUUGUAAGUUUGUGAUUAUCUACAAGUAAUUAGUCUGUAUAUCUUGUGGUGUAGGAAAUUGAUUGAUAGCAAGAUAAUAGAUUGAUCAAGGAUUCGUUGUGGUUUUGCUGGUGUAGUGGUUUUGCUGGUGCAGUGGAUAUGCUGCUCAUUUGGUUUUGCUGGUGCAGUGGAUAUGCUGCUCAUUUGACCAAGUUCAGACCAAAUGAAAUAAAGAGAGAGAAGAUAAGUUUAGCUUGUGUUUUUGCCUUCACAGAAAUUGGAUGGUCAUGAAUCUACUUAUGUUCAACAUCAUUAAACUUAUUAUGCUUAUAUUUUAUUAGACAUCAUCUAAUUUAAAGUUGAAACAUAUUAAUAUUACUAUGCUUAUAUUUGGUCUACAGGUUAUAUGUAUUGUUCAUGGAGUUUUUUACAAUGUCGUAGGAAAAUCCUAAAUUGAUGGAAAACUGUUGUGUGGUACAAAGUCAUUGUCAAUCACUUUUCUUGGAUAUAAUGAACCAACUCCUACCAAGUAAGGAGGGGACGUGCCUUCAGGAAAAUGCAGUUAAAAUGAUAAGUUUCUUGCUGCAGCCAAGAUUUAUAGUAUUAAUAUACAACUGUAUUAACCUUUAGGUUUUGACCUGUUAUGUACUGUUAACAUCAAUAAUAGGUAUUUAACUAGCUGGUAGUCAAUGUUUUCAAAACAAAUAUGAUAUUUGAACACUAGCAAAUUGGAUACCAUACAGUGACCUUUGAAUUUUUAAAGUAUAAAUGUACCACUUCCAAGGUUUAUAUA